CCUUUAGUUCUCAGAACCAGAGGUUACACCCACUAAUCUCGUCAGCAUCCACCUAAAACCCAAAUCACCUUUCCUACCCAACCUUGCCAAGAACAAAGAAACCAGCCAUGGCAACGGGUUAGAAGCCACUGAAGUCCCUAUCUUUUUCUAUUGCCGAGUGUAGAAGCUUGGGCUUUGGAAAUUAGACUGAGAUCGGUUCCCUCCUAAGGUUUGGAAUUGGGGAGAAGUAGAGAAUUGGAGCUGGAGUUAAUCGAAAGUCUUUGUCAGCUGAAAGGUGGAAUUGUGCAGUACAUAAAUUGAGGAAGAAGGUUUCUGGGUGAAGGUAGUGUUGACGGCAACUGACCAAAUUGAGGAACUGAGCAGGAGCUAGCUGAGGACCAGACUUAGACACUUGGGUGUUGGCAUCGUCAAGUUGUGUAUAUCUUCUUUUGGACUUGACUGUUGGUUUGGCAGGUGUUGAUCGGUCUCCCUUCUUUUGAAAUUGUGACUUGGUUUUGUUGUGGGAACCUUUGUAAAUUUGUUAUUAUCCGCCUGCCUAUCUUUUGGUGUGUGUUACUUAGCGUGAAUCUGAAACCCGAACCUUGAACUCAUGGCUUUUGUGGAAUGUAAAUAAAGUACUCUUUUGUUGUAAAAUCUUUACGCUUCCGAAUCGUAUUCUCAACUUCAAUCGUAAACAUUUUCUCACCACAAUUCUAAAAGGCCUAGCAAGCUUUUGUGGCACGGGUUUGUGGCACAAGUUGCAGACUCAUGUUCAGAGGCUUGCGGCGCUGUAACGUAAUCCUUUCAGGGCGU